rnacentral:rRNA from 1 species
AACACAUGCAAGUCGAGGGGCAUCAGGAAGAAAGCUUGCUUUCUUUGCUGGCGACCGGCGCACGGGUGAGUAACACGUAUCCAACCUGCCCUUUACUCGGGGAUAGCCUUUCGAAAGAAAGAUUAAUACCCGAUAGCAUAAUGAUUCCGCAUGGUUUCAUUAUUAAAGGAUUCCGGUAAAGGAUGGGGAUGCGUUCCAUUAGGUUGUUGGUGAGGUAACGGCUCACCAAGCCUUCGAUGGAUAGGGGUUCUGAGAGGAAGGUCCCCCACAUUGGAACUGAGACACGGUCCAAACUCCUACGGGAGGCAGCANUGAGGAAUAUUGGUCAAUGGGCGUUAGCCUGAACCAGCCAAGUAGCGUGAAGGAUGAAGGCUCUAUGGGUCGUAAACUUCUUUUAUAUAAGAAUAAAGUGCAGUAUGUAUACUGUUUUGUAUGUNUUAUAUGAAUAAGGAUCGGCUAACUCCGUGCCAGCAGCCGCGGUAAAUACGGAGGAUNCGAGCGUUAUCCNGAUUUAUUGGGUUUAAAGGGAGCGUAGGUGGACUGGUAAGUCAGUUGUGAAAGUUUUGCGGCUCANCCGUAAAAUUGCAGNUGAUACUGUCAGUCUUGAGUNCAAGAGAGRUNGGCGGAAUUGGUGGUGUAGCGGUGAAAC